UCCUUGCCUGAAAGAUAUUUAAAUACUUUAAACCCCCUGGUUACGCCUAUGGUAGUUCUAUUAAAAACAGUUGCUUCGUUAGCAAAAAGGUUCUGUUUUGUUGAUUUGUUAGGAAUAGUUUGCGAUUUUAGAAAUAGGCUGUCUUUCUCUCGUUCACAGGUUGAGCAUAGGUUCUUGUCACGUAACUGAAUCAAUAAGUGGUUCCGUGCUUGAAUGGUUCGUCUGAGUUGGAACUCAGAUGGAAUGACAUUAAGCAAAGACGGAUGACAUCCGGUCUGUCCAUUUGGAUUCUUGUCUUGACGACAGUGCGAGGAGUGCAAAAGUUAAGUUGUGUUUUGCUGAUCCAGAUUCAUCCGCCAUAAAAUAGGUUUGUUUUACGAAAAACCAUCGUCUAAGACGGAUUGACACCUAUAAAUUUUGUGUGCGGAUGAAUAAUUUCGGUUUAGUUAUUGUGACAUAACCUCAGCUUGAGACACGCUAGUCCAACAUCUGCGGCUAAGCGAAGGUCCUGGUAACCACCCCUAUUCGUUGGCCACAUACCAUCUUUAAAGCCAUUACUAAGCGUAUAGUCUCUUGUGCUUCUCCUGUCUUGUCCCUACUGACAGUGUCUUUUCUCUCCCUGGUAGGCCAACUUCCUGAGGACACACUUGGGGGACCAGUGGCUGUCCGCUGCCCAAUAGUCAGUAACCAGCACCAGUAACCAGCGCAGGAAUCACCACCACAGGAACACCCACCACGAGACCGUAAGCAAGGACAGAGAAAGUCAGUACCCUUACAACAUCUUUCUUUUUUUAUAUUAUACCAUAUUCUUUUAUACUCCAUAGUGUGUCUGUACCUACCAUUUUUGUACAGAUCUAGGUCCUGCCUCUACCCUCAUUGUACACCUGGCUAUAGCUAUAACCAAGUAAUUACAGGGUGUAUAUUGAAUUGUACUUAGUUAAUUCCACGGGUAGACUUACAGAAGUAGGUAUUUGACACUAGAGGGUAUAAAUUAUUCACAUUUAUUUUGGUAUAAGAAUAUAAAUAUAGUAUGGUACGGUACCUAUCUGAUUCUUGCUGAACGUCGGUAGAUUUCAUUAAUCAGGUUAUAUUGUAUGUGAUAAGUUAGGGUUUCUUUUUUUUGAAGUCAUAGCAAUAUUUAAUAUUUAGUUUCAAUAGUCGUUAUACAUUUUCUUAUAUUUUGUUGCAAUUCCCCUAUUUUCUGUUUUUCAUUUUAUGUUCACUAAAUAAUUGUUAGUUGCAGGUUGUUUUAAUGCUCAGAAAUAACCGGGUCACCUUCUGCUGAACUCAUAAUAAAUCCCUGAGAUGAGAUAGAGAGAUUAACUGAAUUUUGUAUUAUAUAUUGUGGAAUAUAUUGAUAUUCAGUUUAUUUAUUCAGUAACAUCUCUCGAUCUUUAUUUUCUGUAACAAGAAAUAUUAAAGACAUUAAUAGAAUAAUAAUGCUAUUAUACCUCUUGUAAUGUUGUUUGUAAUUGCCCCGUGCGUGUGGCCAUAGUUGCCAAGCAUGUAAACGUAAAUAAAAAAAUCAGAUAUAUCUAUCUAAUCUAUAUAUAUAAAAGAAAGUCGAGUUAUGUUAGUUACACUGAUAAUAACUCGAGAACGGCUCAUCAGAUUGUUAUGAAAAUUUACAAGUGUAUU
rnacentral:lncRNA from 1 species